CCUACGGGAGGCAGCAGUGGGGAAUUUUGGACAAUGGGGGCAACCCUGAUCCAGCCAUGCCGCGUGAGUGAAGAAGGCCUUCGGGUUGUAAAGCUCUUUCGGCCGGAACGAAAUCGCAUGGGUCAAUACCCUGUGUGGAUGACGGUACCGGAAGAAGAAGCACCGGCUAACUACGUGCCAGCAGCCGCGGUAAUACGUAGGGUGCGAGCGUUAAUCGGAAUUACUGGGCGUAAAGCGUGCGCAGGCGGCCGCGUAAGCCAGAGGUGAAAUCCCCGGGCUCAACCUGGGAAUGGCCUUUGGGACUGCGUGGCUCGAGUGCGGCAGAGGGGGGUGGAAUUCCUGGUGUAGCAGUGAAAUGCGUAGAUAUCAGGAGGAACACCGAUGGCGAAGGCAGCCCCCUGGGCCAGCACUGACGCUCAUGCACGAAAGCGUGGGGAGCAAACAGGAUUAGAUACCCUGGUAGUCCACGCCCUAAACGAUGACGACUAGUUGUUGGGGGAGCAAUCCCUUAGUAACGUAGCUAACGCGUGAAGUCGUCCGCCUGGGGAGUACGGUCGCAAGAUUAAAACUUAAAGGAAUUGACGG
rnacentral:rRNA from 1 species